rnacentral:lncRNA from 1 species
AAUUUCCUUGGUUACCCUAGUUGAAAGUACUAAAUUGGCAGAACCUCGGGAGAUAUUAAUGUGAAAUCUCCUUAGUUGUUUACAUAUGGAACAAUAAAAGUCUGAUUGAAGCGGUUGUUAGUGGUUGAUAGCCUUUUUCUCGACCGUAUAUGCAUCAGUAUAGAUUUGAGUUCCUAGUCAAUAUGGAUUUAAAAGAGGGGAAGGAACCAGAGGGCUGAGUGGUUUCAUCCGUGAGCGAUUAUCGUGAGGAGGUGACAUCAUAACACGCCAUAAAACGAGUUGUUCUCAGGAGUACUUUUGGGAAGUUUUAUGUGCAUUAAUAAAUACUAUAAUUAUCGACUUGGAAGCACAUGCUAGCAGGUAGCUAUUAUAUAGCAUGAGUGUUUGUUAGUAUAGUGUGAUUAGGAACAUAAAUAUUCGACCUUUCUCUUUGCUCCGUUGACUUUCCAGUUCUAUGAUAUCUUAUCAUCUCUUAUUUAAUAAAUACUAUAAUUAUCAACUUGGAAGCACAUGCUAGCAGUUAGAUAUUAUAUAGCAUAGUGUUUUGGAGAGCGCAAAGCGCAAAAAAGCGACAAGGGCUCGCCUCGCUUCAAAGCGCAAAGCGCAAAGCGCAAAGAAGCGCACGCUUUUUUGAAGUGAAGCGUAAUUCUUAAAAAACAUAAUGUAAAAUUAUAAAUAAUCAAAAACAUCAAUUUAAAUACUUAAAAGUAGGUACUAGGUACCACCAAGUCAUCCACAAACCAUCCAUAAACCAUAAGACAAGCAAAAUCAAAGCUACUAAAUUACUAGAAGUCAAUCAACAUCUUAUUCUUCUAUGUCUUCUUACCAUCCAUAAAUCAUAGGACAAGCAAAAUCAAAGCUACUAAAUUACUAGAAGUCGAUCAACAUCUUAUUCUUCUAUGUCUUCUUCUCCUUCAAGAUUGUCAAAAUCUUGAAUUCCUCGGUUAUCUUCAUAUUGCUCGUCAUCUUCUUCUUCCCCCUCCUGUUCAUAAUCAUUCUCAUCUUCAUCUGUGGAUCGACUUGUAGUAACCCACUUUUUCCCUUCCUAAUAGAGCUUGAACUUGGAGUAUAACUCCUUAAACUAUAAGGAUCCUCCCCAACUCCACUAGUAACCGCAACAUCUCCCCGAGUUAAAUCGGGGUCGCCUUCAAAUACUUCUU